rnacentral:rRNA from 1 species
AGCAGCCGCCGCGGGAAUACGAAGGGUGCAAGCGUUACUCGGAAUUACUGGGCGUAAAGCGUGCGUAGGUGGUGUUUAAGUCCGUUGUGAAAGCCCUGGGCUCAACCUGGGAAUUGCAGUGGAUACUGGGUCACUAGAGUGUGGUAGAGGAUAGUGGAAUUUCCGGUGUAGCAGUGAAAUGCGUAGAGAUCGGAAGGAACAUCUGUGGCGAAGGCGACUAUCUGGGCCAACACUGACACUGAGGCACGAAAGCGUGGGGAGCAAACAGGAUUAGAUACCCCUGUAGUCCCUGUCUCUUAUACA